rnacentral:lncRNA from 13 species
GGAAUCACUCGCAAAAAGCUUAUUUAUAGGCAAAAACAAAAAGCCGGUAUGGCCGCUCUCACGUUCCGCACGUUCCUCUCUGGUUACGUCUUCCGAAUGUAAAAUGAGUAAGAUGAGAUGGUCGCUGGUUGGCCGUGUACCAGUAAGCGUGUUUGUAAUAGAGUGAAAAAGCGCGGUCAGGAUUGCUGAUGCAAUCCUUAUUCCUUGUGCAAGCAUAUCCUGUAUUCCUAUUUAAGUCUUUUUGUUUCCCAUAUAACUAUUGAAAGCAAGAUAAGAAAUACCUUGGUUACUAUGAUCAAAUCGUUCCCGCCACGUUGUUACACUGGAGACGGGUACCAUUAACGUUGAGAAGAAGAAGUAAAAUGAGAUUUAAUCUUCAACAAAAUUUCAAGUUUUGUCGAACGCAGCAUUUGUGGCUACAUACGUCGGUCAUUUCUCCAGGCGAUAGAUACAAAAUGGAUUAUUAAUAUAUCUCAGUUAAAUAUUGUAUAUCAGUUACUGUCCUCCCAUAAAUCAUGGUACAUUGUGAUCAAUUUUCAUAAUAUUUUAAACUAAAAUAACUUUAAAAUAGGACAAGUUAAAACUAUGUUAAAACUAUGAUGUAUAAUUUUUUUUUUUAAAGGUUUUCUCAUUAUUUAGAAAAAACUUACGAGAGAACUAUACGAUCUAGUUUUGAUUCAUCCUAUUUAAAAAAAAAAAGUUAUUUUAGUUAUAGUGUUAUAAAACAUCACAGUGUACACAAUUUAUUUGUAUAUAUAUAAAUCUUUAAGUGUUGACAGUUAAAAUUGUGGGAAGUAGCUAAAAAAUAUCAGAUGAAUCCUAAGAUUUCAUUUAAAUUAUGCAUUGCUGAAACUAACCUUUAUCUAUUAGGCACAGGAUAAAUCAAGAAAUUCUUGCACUUUCCUGGAAAUUUCAGAGACUUGGCAACCUUGCUUUACACACAAUGAAGUUUGUAUCCUGUGCAUUUGCUUUGAAAACUUAAGAAUAUUGUAAUUAAUAAAGAGUACUAUUUAUAACAUAUAAUUUUUUUUUAAAUGAACAUUCAUACAAAUAGUUUUUAUGAUGUUUGAGUUACCGAAGAAAAUUUCUAUAUUUCUAAGAAAGAUAAAUCUGAACAUAAACAGUCACAUAGUGUGCAGAGGUGUCAAAAAACAAUGUGUGUAUAGAGAGUUGGUAAUAACGAUAAUAAUGUUUAAAGUAAUUGUAUUAUAUUUAAUAAUAAUGAUAUAAAACCAUUAUGGGUUAAGGAUCAAGUAAGAUUUUAAUAUUAAAAAUAAUUGAUAAGUAUUUCCAAUAUGUAGGGAAAAAUGUUGCUUUAAUUGUUAUCUUAUAAAACUAUUGGAUAUUUUUAAAAAUAAAAGUAUAUAGUUUA